GAUGAACGCUGGCGGCGUGCCUAAUACAUGCAAGUCGAGCGAACAGACGAGGAGCUUGCUCCUUUGACGUUAGCGGCGGACGGGUGAGUAACACGUGGAUAACCUACCUAUAAGACUGGGAUAACUUCGGGAAACCGGAGCUAAUACCGGAUAACAUGUUGAACCGCAUGGUUCAACAGUGAAAGACGGUCUUGCUGUCACUUAUAGAUGGAUCCGCGCCGCAUUAGCUAGUUGGUAAGGUAACGGCUUACCAAGGCAACGAUGCGUAGCCGACCUGAGAGGGUGAUCGGCCACACUGGAACUGAGACACGGUCCAGACUCCUACGGGAGGCAGCAGUAGGGAAUCUUGCGCAAUGGGCGAAAGCCUGACGGAGCAACGCCGCGUGAGUGAAGAAGGUCUUCGGAUCGUAAAACUCUGUUAUUAGGGAAGAACAAAUGUGUAAGUAACUAUGCACGUCUUGACGGUACCUAAUCAGAAAGCCACGGCUAACUACGUG
rnacentral:rRNA from 1 species